rnacentral:rRNA from 1 species
UAAUUCGACUUAUACGCGAAGAACCUUACCUGGCCUUGACAUAGUUAGAACCUAAUAGAGAUAUAAGGGUGCUAGUUUACUAGAGCUAACAUACAGGUGCUGCACGGCUGUCGUCAGCUCGUGUCGUGAGAUGUUGGGUUAAGUCCCGCAACGAGCGCAACCCUCGUGUUUAGUUGCUAACAGGUUAAGCUGAGGACUCUAGACAGACUGCCUGGGUAACCAGGAGGAAGGUGAGGACGACGUCAAGUCAUCAUGGCCCUUACGGCCAGGGCUACACACGUGCUACAAUGGGAUAUACAAAGAGCAGCGAUACCGCGAGGUGGAGCAAAUCUCAUAAAAUAUCUCCCAGUUCGGAUUACACUCUGCAACUCGAGUGUAUGAAGUUGGAAUCGCUAGUAAUCGUAGAUCAGCAAUGCUACGGUGAAUACGUUCCCGGGUCUUGUACUCACCGCCCUGCACACCAUG